UGGGGAAUAUUGAACAAUGGGCGCAAGCCUGAUGCAGCCAUGCCGCGUGUAUGAAGAAGGCCUUCGGGUUGUAAAGUACUUUCAGCGGGGAGGAAGGGAGUAAAGUUAAUACCUUUGCUCAUUGACGUUACCCGCAGAAGAAGCACCGGCUAACUCCGUGCCAGCAGCCGCGGUAAUACGGAGGGUGCAAGCGUUAAUCGGAAUUACUGGGCGUAAAGCGCACGCAGGCGGUUUGUUAAGUCAGAUGUGAAAUCCCCGGGCUCAACCUGGGAACUGCAUCUGAUACUGGUCAGCUAGAGUCUUGUAGAGGGGGGUAGAAUUCCAUGUGUAGCGGUGAAAUGCGUAGAGAUGUGGAGGAAUACCGGUGGCGAAGGCGGCCCCCUGGACAAAGACUGACGCUCAGGUGCGAAAGCGUGGGGAGCAAACAGG
rnacentral:rRNA from 1 species